UACGUAGGGUCCGAGCGUUGUCCGGAAUUAUUGGGCGUAAAGGGCUCGUAGGCGGUCUGUUGCGUCGGGAGUGAAAUCUUUACAGCUUUAACUGUGAACUUGCUUUUCGAUACGGGCAGACUUGAGGUAUUCAGGGGGAGAACGGAAUUCCUGGUGUAGCGGUGAAAUGCGCAGAUAUCAGGAGGAACACCGGUGGCGAAGGCGGUUCUCUGGGAAUAUUCUGACGCUGAGGAGCGAAAGUGUGGGGAGCGAACAGG
rnacentral:rRNA from 1 species